rnacentral:rRNA from 1 species
CGCACGAGCGCACCCCUAUCCUUAGUUGCUAGCAGGUAAUGCUGAGAACUCUAAGGAGACUGCCGGUGAUAAACCGGAGGAAGGUGGGGACGACGUCAAGUCAUCAUGGCCCUUACGUGUAGGGCUACACACGUGCUACAAUGGCGCAUACAGAGUGCUGCAAACUCGCGAGAGUAAGCGAAUCACUUAAAGUGCGUCGUAGUCCGGAUUGGAGUCUGCAACUCGGCUCCAUGAAGUCGGAAUCGCUAGUAAUCGUGGAUCGGAAUGCCACGGUGAAUACGUUCCCGGGCCUUGUACACACCGCCCGUCACACCAUGGGAGUGGGUUGCUCCAGAAGUAGAUAGUCUAACCCUCGGGAGGACGUUUACCACGGAGUGAUUCAUGACUGGGGUGAAGUCGUAACAAGGUAGCCCUAGGGGAACCUGGGGCUGGAUCACCUCCUU